rnacentral:lncRNA from 1 species
AGAAGCUUGACAACAUAUGCACAAUAUUCAGUGUUGCUAUCUUUUGUUGUUAUUAUUGUUACAGCCUUACAGGUAUCAUGUACUAAUCUGAAAUCUAUCUUUUUAAGUGUAAAACUGAACCAGAAGCACCACAUUAUUUCUCAAACUUAUCAGCUAAAGAAUUCCAAAUCGAAAGGCUUGAAAGAAUCACCACAUUAUUUCUCAAACUUAUCAGCUAAAGAAUUCCAAAUCGAAAGGCUUGAAAGAAGCACCACAUUACUUCUUAAACUAAUCAGCUAAAGAAUUCCAAAUCGGAAGGCUUGAUAGAAGCACAACAUUAUUUCUUAAACUCAUCAGCUAAAGGAUUUCAAAUCAAAAAGCUUGAAAGAACUUUGACAACAUUAUACACAAUAUUCAGUGUUUGCUAUCUUUUGUUGUUAUUAUUGUUACAGCCUUACAGGUAACAUGUACUAAUGUGAAAUCUUCAAUUUUAAGUGUAAAACUGAACCAGAAGCACCACAUUAUUUAUCAAACUUAUCAGGUAAAGAAUUCCAAAUCAAGAGGCUUGAAAGAAGCACCACAUUACUUCUUAAACUUAUCAGCUAAAGAAUUCCAAAUCGGAAGGCUUGAAAGAAGCACAACAUUAUUUCUUAAACUUAUCAGCUAAAGGAUUCCAAAACGAAAGGCUUGAAAGAAGAUUACAUACGCACCACGACAACCUAACAAUCACAAAUUCUCAUCAUAGCUGAUGAGACGACAUUAAAGGACCAAGUCUCAAGUAUAAAAGGUAAACAAUAUGGUGCAGCAGCAGGCAAGUAGUAUACAAUAUGAUAUACAAUGCUCUUGACCUUGAAAGAAGCUCGGUGUUAUACACGAUAUGCAAAGCUAGCUAACCUUCGCUCUUACAGUUGUUAGCGGUAACAUGUUAGGACAAAUAUUAGUUGUACAAAUGUAAAUCUAGAAUAAUGCAGGUGCAAAACUAAGCCAGAAGCUAAAAAAAGCUUACAUAAGCACCAGGACAACCUAACAACCACAAAUCCUCAUCAUACUUGAUGAGACGACAUUAUUACAGGACACAAUUUUUCUUAUGUACUCCCUCCGUCCCAAAAUUCUUGUCUUAAAUUUGUCUAGAUACGGAUGUAUCUAAUACUAAAACGUGACUUGAUUCAUCCGUAUUUAGUCAAAUCAAGAAUUUUGGGACGGAGGGAGUAAAAACUAUAAACAAUAUUGUGCAGCAGCAGGCAAUUAGUAGUAUAUCACUCGUUCAUUCGUAUACGAGGGGCCAGGCUUAGAUCUAAAUAAUCACCUGAAGUGAAGU